rnacentral:rRNA from 1 species
GACAGAGGAAGCAAGCGUUAUUCGGAAUUACUGGGCGUAAAGGGCGUGUAGGUGGUCUGAUAAGUCAGGUGUGAAAGCCCUUGGCUUAACCAAGGAAGUGCAUCUGAAACUAUCAGACUUGAGUACGGGAGGGGGAAGUGGAAUUCCUGGUGUAGAGGUGAAAUUCGUAGAUAUCAGGAGGAAUACCGGUGGCGAAGGCGACUUCCUGGACCGAUACUGACACUGAUACGCGAAAGCGUGGGGAGCAAACAGG